rnacentral:rRNA from 1 species
GAUCCUGGCUCAGGACGAACGCUGGCGGCGUGCCUAAUACAUGCAAGUCGAGCGAAGUUUUUCUGGUGCUUGCACCGGAAAAACUUAGCGGCGAACGGGUGAGUAACACGUAAAGAACCUGCCUCAUAGACUGGGACAACUAUUGGAAACGAUAGCUAAUACCGGAUAACAGCAUUAACUGCAUGGUUUGAUGUUUGAAAGUUGGUUUUGCUAACACUAUGAGAUGGCUUUGCGGUGCAUUAG